GCUGGGUGUUGUGGCUCACACCUGUAAUCCUAGCACUUUGGGAGGCUGAGGUGGGUGGAUCACUUGAGGUCAGGAGUUCAAAACCAGGCUGGCCAACAUGGUGAAACCUUGUCUCUACUAAAAAUACAAAAAAUUAGCUGGGCAUGGUGGUGGGCACCUGCAAUCCCAGCUAUUUGGGAGGCUAAGGCAGGAGAAUCACUUGAACCCCAGAGGCAGAGGUUACAGUGAGCCAAGAUUGCACCAUUGCACUCCAGCCUGGGCAACAGAGUGAGACUCCAUCACA
rnacentral:sRNA from 1 species